ensembl:lncRNA
CUGCGGACAGGAGCAGGGUGACAGCCACUGGUGCCACAGCGAUGACUAUGGGGUCCAACGGGGUGUAUGAGUCUGGGGACAAAGCGGAGUGAUGGGGACUAAUGAAUAGGAUGGGGACACGGGAAUGUGAUGGGGUCAGAGCAGGGUGAUGCAGACAGUGGGGUGUGAUGGGGAUGUAGUGAUGGUAUGGGGACACAGGGAAGGGAUGAGGACAACAGUAAGGGACAGGGUCAACAGGACCAAAGGGGAGCCUCUCACCGGCAUGUGCUGUCUCUUCCGUGGAUCUGGGCACAAGGCCUGGGGGGACAAAUGGAUGGGCUGAGUAUCCCCCGAACUCUCACCUCUGCAUGAACACGGCUCCUGAGUGCAUUGCUAUGGGGCAGGGCUUGCAGCCAUAGGAAGGUGCCCACUGAGCCUGCCCUUCUCCUGAGACACCUAGAACGAUGUAAGUUCCCUUUGAUCUGAUUACGUAAACUAUGCUGGAUUUAAAAAUGCAUGGCAGAGAUGCAACCGUGCACUGUAUGAUACUGCAGCACAAUUCUCUACUUCACCUUGUGGAUAAGAAACGACUAGUAUGUUGAUCUGCCUCUAUGGGAUGGGAUGGCAGCAUCCCAUUUGCAAGACUCCAUAAUGCAUUUCCCCUCCUGCCGCCAUCUAAAGCCUCUUUUAGGUGGUUUUGUUGAAGGUGAAGGCACCCAGAUCCCAAAGCACAUCAACAUCUGGCCAUCCCCACACUAUAGCCACAGCAUCGUCUUCUUGCUGCAUAGGAACUCACACGGUGAGAAACAACCUCACACUUGGAAAUCACCCGAGUUUCCAUUCCUUAUUCUCAAAACAUUUUUUGAAUAACCCUUGCAGCAUCCCUUCCCAGGAAAGGGAUUGUGCCCAAACCCUGCACCUGCUUCCUGAGCCUGGGCACUGCAGUGCCCCAUUUCUGCACCACGGGAUGGAGAGGGAGACCAUUCCAGAGCCCACUUCUCUCUAUGGCAUUUCUUGAUCCAGAAAAUCUAUGUGGUGUUCAUCCCCCCCUCCCCUGUGUCCGCACAACCCUGGCGUCACAUCCCACCUGUGACCUGCAGGUCCAAGGGAGGGCUGAGGGGAGAGCUCCUCAGCCUGUUUUUCAUGCUCCUCUGCUGGUAGAAACAUGUGUAUGUCCCCGCACUUCUCUCAGUGAUGUUCAGCAGCAUGGAGCUCAUGACCCUUCCCUCUUGGACCUUCACACUGUGCACCUCCAACCCAUCCUUGCACAAGACAAUUCGGGUAGCAGGAAACUGCUUCUGAAAGACACAUCGAGCCAGGACAACUUCUCCUUCCUGAGCACUGGAUGCGUUAAGGAACAGGGCUGGAGCCUG